AACGCUAGAAUUCGUUGCAUUUGUUAUUAUGGAUUUCUGCGGUAUGGCAAUACGUUUAACAUGACGUGACACUUGUGCUGUGUUGCUCUCCAAGGAAACCGAUGCUCAGAGAACCAGCACUAAUGUUCUACUACUACUUAUUGGAAAUUGUCAGAACAUGAUGGAUGUGGAUCAUCAUGCUUUGCAGAAGGCUGGGGAGAAGUUUGCAUUCAUUUUAUAAAAAGCUAUUUUUCAAUUUGGAAAU
ensembl:lncRNA